UACGGAAGGCAGCAGGUGGGGAAUAUUGCACAAUGGGCGAAAGCCUGAUGCAGCUAUGCCGCGUGUAUGAAGAAGGCCUUAGGGUUGUAAAGUACUUUCAUCGGGGAGGAAAAAACAAAACUAAUAAUUUUAUUUCUUGACGUUACCCGAAAAAGAAGCACCGGCUAACUCCGUGCCAGCAGCCGCGGUAAUACGGAGGGUGCUAGCGUUAAUCAGAAUUACUGGGCGUAAAGAGCACGUAGGUGGUUUUUUUAAAGUCAGAUGUGAAUCCCUGGGCUUAACCUAGGAACUGCAUUUUGAAACUGAAAUACUAGAGUAUCGUAGAGGGAGGUAGAAUUCUAGGUGUAGCGGUGAAAUGCGUAGAUAUCUGGAGGAAUACCUGUGGCGAAAGCGGCCUCCUAAACGAAUACUGACACUGAGGUGCGAAAGCGUGGGGAGCAAACAGGGAUUAGAUACC
rnacentral:rRNA from 1 species